rnacentral:rRNA from 1 species
UACGUAGGGGGCAAGCGUUGUCCGGAAUCAUUGGGCGUAAAGCGCGCGUAGGCGGCUCGAUCAGUCUGUUGUGAAAGUCAAAGGCUCAACCUUUGAAAGCCGAUGGAUACUGUCGAGCUAGAGUCCGGAAGAGGCGGGUGGAAUUCCUGGUGUAGCGGUGGAAUGCGCAGAUAUCAGGAGGAACACCAACGGCGAAGGCAGCCCCGUGCUGGACGGUACUGACGCGUAAGGCGCGAAAGCGGUGGGGAGCGAACGAGG